AACGAACGCUGGCGGCAGGCUUAACACAUGCAAGUCGAGCGCCCCGCAAGGGGAGCGGCAGACGGGUGAGUAACGCGUGGGGAUCUACCUUUUGCUACGGAAUAACGCAGGUAAACUCGUGCUAAUACCGUAUGUGCCCUUCGGGGGAAAGAUGUAUCGGCAGAGGAUGAGACCGCGUUGGAUUAGCUCGUUGGUGGGGUAAAGGCCUACCAAGGCGACGAUCCAUAGCUGGUCUGAGAGGAUGUGCAGCCACAUUGGGACUGAGACACGGCACAACAGCGAGCGGGAGUCAGCAGUGGGGAUAAUUGGGAAACGGGCGAGAGCCUGGUGGAGCCAUGCCGCGUUAGUGCUGAAGGCCUUAGGGUUGAAAAACUCUUUCACCGAUGAAGAUCAUGACGGUAACCGUAGAAGAAGACCCGGCUAACUUCGUGCCAGCAGCCGCCGCCG
rnacentral:rRNA from 1 species